rnacentral:rRNA from 1 species
GGGAUUACCUCAGUAACGGCGAGUGAAGCGGUAACAGCUCAAAUUUGAAAGCUAGCUCUUUUAGGGUUCGCAUUGUAAUUUGUAGAAGAUGCUUCGGGUGUGGCCCCGGUCUAAGUUCCUUGGAACAGGACGUCAUAGAGGGUGAGAAUCCCGUAUGUGACUGGGUGCUUUCGCUCAUGUGAAGCUCUUUCGACGAGUCGAGUUGUUUGGGAAUGCAGCUCAAAAUGGGUGGUAAAUUUCAUCUAAAGCUAAAUAUUGGCCAGAGACCGAUAGCGCACAAGUAGAGUGAUCGAAAGAUGAAAAGCACUUUGGAAAGAGAGUUAAACAGUACGUGAAAUUGUUGAAAGGGAAGCGCUUGCAACCAGACUUGCGCGCUGAUGAUCAUCCGGGCUUCUGCCCGGUGCACUCGUCUGCGCUCAGGCCAGCAUCGGUUUUGGUGGUGGGAUAAAGGCCUUGGGAAUGUAGCUUCUUUCGGGGAGUGUUAUAGCCCUCGGUGCAAUGCCGCCUACCGGGACCGAGGACCGCGCUUCGGCUAGGAUGCUGGCGUAAUGGUUGUAAGCGACCCGUCUUGAAACACGGACCAAGGAGUCUAACAUCUAUGCGAGUGUUUGGGUGUCAAACCCAUACGCGUAAUGAAAGUGAACGGAGGUGAGAACCCUUAAGGGUGCAUCAUCGACCGAUCCUGAUGUCUUCGGAUGGAUUUGAGUAAGAGCAUAGCUGUUGGGACCCGAAAGAUGGUGAACUAUGCGUGAAUAGGGUGAAGCCAGAGGAAACUCUGGUGGAGGCUCGCAGCGGUUCUGACGUGCAAAUCGAUCGUCAAAUUUGCGUA